UUAAUACUUGGGUUUUUUCCCUGGAAGGGAUUAGUAUGUGAACCAUUAAUAGGCUUGAUAGGAAGUACUAUGGAGUCGGAGGUUACGUGGUGAUGUGGAAAGUGUACGGGUGUAUCAUGAAUGGUUGGCCGGUUUGGUAGUAGAAUAUUUGGAAUCUUCUCUGAGAGACAAAAUGGUUAAGUUACGAUCAAGAAGUGAAUGAGUAAGGGGUUAGAGUCAAGCGUGC
rnacentral:lncRNA from 1 species